GUAACGGCCCACCAAGGCGACGAUCCAUAGCCGACCUGAGAGGGUGACCGGCCACAUUGGGACUGAGACACGGCCCAAACUCCUACGGGAGGCAGCAGUGGGGAAUAUUGCACAAUGGGCGAGAGUCUGAACCAGCCAAGUAGCGUGCAGGAUGACGGCUCUAUGGGUUGUAAACUGCUUUUAUAAGGGAAUAAAGUGAGCCUCGUGAGGCUUUUUGCAUGUACCUUAUGAAUAAGGACCGGCUAAUUCCGUGCCAGCAGCCGUGGUAAUACGGAAGGUCCGGGCGUUAUCCGGAUUUAUUGGGUUUAAAGGGAGCGUAGGCCGGAGAUUAAGCGUGUUGUGAAAUGUAGACGCUCAACGUCUGCACUGCAGCGCGAACUGGUUUCCUUGAGUACGCACAAAGUGGGCGGAAUUCGUGGUGUAGCGGUGAAAUGCUUAGAUAUCGCGAAGAACUCCGAUUGCGAAGGCAGCUCACUGGAGCGCAACUGACGCUGAAGCUCGAAAGUGCGGGUAUCGAACAGGAUUAGAUACCCUGGUAGUCCGCACGGUAAACGAUGGAUGCCCGCUGUUGGUCUGAAUAGGUCAGCGGCCAAGCGAAAGCAUUAAGCAUCCCACCUGGGGAGUACGCCGGCAACGGUGAAACUCAAAGGAAUUGACGGGGGCCCGCACAAGCGGAGGAACAUGUGGUUUAAUUCGAUGAUACGCGAGGAACCUUACCCGGGCUUGAAUUGCAGAGGAAGGAUUUGGAGACAAUGACGCCCUUCGGGGCCUCUGUGAAGGUGCUGCAUGGUUGUCGUCAGCUCGUGCCGUGAGGUGUCGGCUUAAGUGCCAUAACGAGCGCAACCCCUCUCCUUAGUUGCCAUCAGGUUAAGCUGGGCACUCUGGGGACACUGCCACCGUAAGGUGUGAGGAAGGUGGGGAUGACGUCAAAUCAGCACGGCCCUUACGUCCGGGGCUACACACGUGUUACAAUGGCAGGUACAGAGAGACGGUUGUACGUAAGUACGAUCAAAUCCUUAAAGCCUGUCUCAGUUCGGACUGGGGUCUGCAACCCGACCCCACGAAGCUGGAUUCGCUAGUAAUCGCGCAUCAGCCAUGGCGCGGUGAAUACGUUCCCGGGCCUUGUACACACCGCCCGUCAAGCCAUGAAAGCCGGGGGCGCCUAAAGUCCGUGACCGUAAGGAGCGGCCUAGGGCGAAACUGGUAAUUGGGGCUAAGUCGUAACAAGGUA
rnacentral:rRNA from 1 species